UACGUAGGGAGCGAGCGUUGUCCGAAGUUACUGGGCGUAAAGCGUGCGCAGGCGGCUUUGCAAGACAGAUGUGAAAUCCCCGGGCUUAACCUGGGAACUGCAUUUGUGACUGCAUGGCUAGAGUGCGGCAGAGGGGGAUGGAAUUCCGCGUGUAGCAGUGAAAUGCGUAGAUAUGCGGAGGAACACCGAUGGCGAAGGCAAUCCCCUGGGCCAAUACUGACGCUCAUGCACGAAAGCGUGGGGAGCAAACAGG
rnacentral:rRNA from 1 species